UGAGCAAUCUGCCCUUCUCAUCGGAAUAAGCGUUGGAAACGACGUCUAAUGCCGAAUACGACCUCCUUUCGCAUGAUCGGAGGUGGAAAGCUCCGGCGGAGAAGGAUGAGCUCGCGACCUAUCAGCUAGUUGGUGUGGGUAAUGGCCCACCAAGGCGACGACGGGUAGCCGGCCUGAGAGGGUGACCGGCCACACUGGGACUGAGACACGGCCCAGACUCCUACGGGAGCAG
rnacentral:rRNA from 1 species